rnacentral:lncRNA from 1 species
CAGAAACCUGCCCGGAGUCUGCGUGGUGAUUCCAUGUGGGCUUGCAAACGAAACAGCAAUUGCCCCCCCCCCAUAGGGGACUCCUGUAUACUGGUAAGAAAGAUUUUGAAAUUUCCGCCCUUAUUGCUGUCAUCGUUUCCUUGUAUUUCCGCCACAACAAUGGCAACAGUCACCUCACAAAAUCAAGUGGUGACAACAGCAGCCAGCUAACAAAAAACAUCACCCAAGCCUUCAAAAGACCGCCCU